CAGACGAACCGACUAGCUCUCUCAACUCUCAUCUUCUUUCUGUAUCCACAUCGCCGCCCACUCCGUUCGUUCAUGGCCCAUCCUGCACAAACCCAAUCCCGGAUCCAAUCGAUGCGAGAAGCGAGAGGAGGCAGUGCGUGCGCGAUGCAUCCAACCGCUCAGCCCAAUCUCCUUAUCCCCUUCUCUCUCUAAAUCGCAGCGGGACAUGGGAGCAAGGAAUCUGGGAGGAGGCGAGGGUUGAGCGCGUCGCGGGAGCCUUCGCUAGGCCGCCGCCGACGAGCGCGUCAUGGGGGCCUUCGCCAGGGCACGUCCGACGGCGCGAGGUGGCGCUUCGCGAAGCAGGCUCCGCCAGUCCGCCGACGACAAGUGCGAUGAGGCCCGUCGCUGGAGGCUCCGCAAUGACGCCUCCGAGGAGCACCUGGGGGCGCGUCGCGGGGAGCGUGGCGCCAGGCCGCCGUCGAAUCCGGCACCUUGCCGCCAACAAACAUGAGUCGUGAGGAGGAGGCGUGUCACGGGGAGGACUUCGCCACGACGCCGUCUACUCCGCCACAAUGUCGUCGGCAAGCUCGACGAGGAGGCGCAACGCGGGGAGGGUCGCACAAGGCCCCCCUCCACUUCGCCAUGCCGUGAAAAGAGGUCCGUGGAACCCGAUCGCCUCGGCAUAUCCUCCACGAGCUGAGCGCUCCGACCACGGCGCCAUCUCGAUGGCGGCUCUCCUACAGAUCCAGGAGGAAAAGUUCCUUUAUGGAGGCCUUAAGCAGGAGCCACAAGCCUGUGGUGCAUCUUCAAGCGGAGGAUGGAAACGGCCUGCCUGUGGGUGACACGGCCAUGUAUGCACACAUCGCCGUCAAGGAGGAUGAUGUCGCAUUGCUUGAGGAGAUCAUCCGGCGGGGAUGUGACCGCUGCGUGUUGCGGCGAUAGCUGCACAACGUAGUCCAGGAUGACAACAUCCGGAUUAUUAGAGAAGAUUGGUUGCGACAUCUAGCUUAGUCCAAGGAUGAGGGCUGCCAUUGUACUCAGCAGUGGUCAAGGGGCACACCUGAAUUGGCCAUGCUGCACCGAGCUGAAUGCCAUGACCUGGCCAUGAUGGUGAACCAAGUUGUCUGCCUUCCAGAACUGUGGAUUUGGCGUCAAGGAAAUCUCUUGAAGAACAACAUGGUACAUAAUGUGAGCAUCCCAACUGCAUUUGCCAUCCUCAUAUCAGUUUGGCUGGUCUAAUGGAGGAAGAGUCAAGAGUAUGUGUGCUUCUUCACUGGCAGAAUGGUGUAUCAACUGUGUUGAUCUUCUACUUCAUUGAGUGCCUUUUUAGACAUCUGAUAUGUAAAUUAUGGUUCUCCCAUCAUAAGCUUCUGCUAGAGUAAGGAUACAGUUUAUCAGUUCCUACGUAGAAACAAAUUCUGGCCUACCGAUUAUAUAUUUCGUACCAUACAAACAUACUAUACAAAAGAUGGAAGUACAUAAUUCUUUGGCUGAAGAUUGUUCACUGUUUUAUCCUGAAGACCGAGAUAUGGCUUUCAUGAGACUCUUGCCAAUCCUUUGAGGCCUUAUUGAGGUAGUUGACUGCCAACAGUCUGUGGGAUUGAGAAAUUCUAUGGUCCUUAGCCUCUGGUUUGUAUUUUGUAGUAAAUCAUUCGCUCACAGAGUUGGAAGCCAUACUUAGAAUGUAGAUAAAUAAGACAGUUCAUCCAUUUAUAGUAGCAGGUCUUGAGCUCUGUUUUCGGUAUGUUCAUUCUUUUAUCAGCAAAGGUGGGAUAAUCAUCCCAUUUCCUAUGCUUGGCAUCAAAUACAGAAUCUCUGAAAUGCCUCUUUUAACAAACAUUGUUGUUUA